AAGUGAGUGAAAUUAGGUAGCAAGUCACUUUUAAUUUUAACUCUAUUAUGAAGUUCAGCUUUAUCAUCCUAUCGGGCGGUGUAUGUGCUAAUAUUAUAGCCAACAAUCAUUUGGGAAAUCAAGAUGUGGUGGAUAAAACCAAAAGUUUGGUAUGUAUACCAACUACAAUAUUUAUAAUAGUUGUCCGAAAUUAUGUUUCCCGAACAGGAAAACCAAGCUUCUGGACGUAAUGAUGUUCAACCCAGAAUCUUUCCAUUUCUUAUUCCACUAUUUGCGGCGCUAGCGGGUGGUGUAAUAGGCGGGGCAACCCGCGCUGGAGUAUCUCAUGAACUUUCUAAAAAAAAUAAGAAAAAAUCAACCAAAAAACUAACAAGAAAACCAAAGAAAAAACCAACUCACACAGUCAAUAAGAAAAAUAACAAAAAGGUAUCUUCUGGGAAAGCAGCAACUCCUGCAGCUAAGAAAAAAAAUAACAAAAAGGUAUCUUCUGGCAAAACAGCAAUUCCUGCAGCUAAGGUGAAAAAUAACAUAAAGACAACUCCUGCAGUUAAUAAGAAAAAUAACAAAAAGGUACCUUCUGGAAAAAAGGCGACUCCUACAACUAAAAAGCAAAAUACCAAAAAAGUAUCUUCUAAUAAAAAGGCAAUACCUGUAGUUAAAAAGGAAAAUAACAAAAAGAAAAUUACCCAAGGAUCAAAAACCCCUGUAAUUAAUACAAAAAAUAACACGAAAGUUGUUUCUUCUCCCAAAUAAAGGCAAACUUUAAUUGUAACUGGCAUUAUAAAUAAAUAAAUUAAAGUUAUCAAAGAAUUAUUGUAAUAAAUUUUCUUAUUUCUUGUGCCUUGUGAGAUUCUUUUGAGCAUUAAUUAAUAAUUUCUACAGCUUUUUGUAAUACCAUAAUGAAUCAUUGGAAUAUUUAUUGAGCCAUUAUUUAAUUAUUUAUUUAAAAUAAGUUUAGACCUUAAAAAGAACUAUGUAUUUGUAUACAAUCAAAUGAAGCUUCCAAAUCAGCUCUAUUUACUUACAGUGUGCAUCAUAUUUACUUAUUUCGCGUUACAUUUAUCGUAUUUAAACAUGAUAAUUCGCAGAAAUGCACUUGCACCACCGCAAAAGAUAAACAAGCCGUUUAAGUUUAUACCAUUGAGAUCAGUUGUAUUAGCAGAUCCAUUUCCUAUAGUUCCUCUAGAAGCAGAUGAUUGUGUCACAUUUUGAUAAAUCGUGACCGGUCCAUGGAAUUGAGUUACAGGCCCAAUGAUAACAUCUUUUGAGUUUUCAACAUUUAUAGCAGUUGGUGUAAAACUAGCGUCACUAGAACAGCACAAAUCUUCUAAUUCCGUUACUGCACUAUCUUCAUUUUCACUUUUUAACACUACUUCAGAAUUGGGCAUUCCCAAAGGAAAUACGUGAAACGCUGAAUUAUCAGACGCACUGAUUAAGGUCAUUUAGUCGCAUUAUAACUAAUUUUGUAAGUGUUCUUACAUUUUUAUUUAAUAAAACUUUGUAAAUGUAUCAUGUUUCACAAGACACGAUAAUAAUUGGGUACCACAUUCUCGUACUAGCAACAAAUUGUUAAUUUAGUUAACAUUGAGCGCCAGUGAGUGUUUAUGGUGGGGAAAACCAUAAUGUGUGCAAUCUCAAUGCACAUAUUUUGUCUGAUGAUCUAGUGUUAUUUUUUUUUAUUUUUUAAUCUAAAAUUUUCCAAUCCGUGCUUAAAAUUUGAGACAAACGAAAAAGGAGUAAAUAAAUUUAAUUUUGAGUUUUGUUUUGUUUUUAUUUUGUAUUAGUGUAUUGUAUUAGUGGCGCUAUCUAUACCUGAAUACCUUUUACUUCGAUAAGAUCGCUACAUUAUUAAUUAUUAUUUAGAUUAAAUUUCAACGUUUCUCUGAAAUCCAAUAAAUCUUUUAAGUUCAUUCACGUGGUUCACUUUUUGCCAGUAAAACCAAAAUUAAAACCGGAACUUUGUACUCAGUAAAUUACCGGUAAUAAUUUUCGAAUGUCGAACAAAAAGCCGCUAAUACGUACAACAAAAAAUAAUAGAAAAUUUGAUUGAGUGUAUUAAAACCUUGAAAACGUUAAUAAAUAAUUCAUCAAAUAUUACACUAGCAUUUGAUAAAAACUCAUGCAGGUAACAAGAAAAAUGACACUAAGUUUGAUAAAAAAAACUCAAAAUAAUAAGAAAAAAUUCCCUUUUCAACAAACUCUAGUUUAAUUGCAACAGGGGGUUUGAAUAUACACUGAGAUUUUUAUUUUAUUGAAUAUCACAUAACACCAUUAUUACCAUUAUGUUCAAUUUAAAAAAAUACAUAUCAAAGAAUUACUAGAAUUCUUAGAUCUUCUGUAUUAUAUGGUAAAGAGUUUAUUUCACUAAUCAUUACAUAACAAAUAUUACACAUAAUAUUGUUAAUUGUACUAUCUUUUGUUGAGUUUUAAUAAGUCCAUGUCAUGCACUGCAAACAGUUCCAUAGAAACAACAAUGUUCAGCAAAAUAAAAUUUUCAGUGUAUAAUAGUCACGACUUUAAAUUUCAUAAUAUUUUUUUCGUUUUAUACUGCAAUGAUCAACAUAUUAUAAUAAAAUAAUUCAAAUUUGAAUUUUUUUUGUAAUAAAAAAAUUUGAAAUUCUCGUGAAUGUCAAUAAUUUAUAACACUUUCGAUUUGCUGGCACGUAUCACACUAUUUAUUAUUGGGUUUUUUAUGUUUACGAACAUAUUUAUUAGUAUUAGUGCAACAAAAAAUAUUUAUAACUUAUUUUUGACAGAAUAAUAAGUUACACCAUAUUUAAUACUUAAGCACAAACUUUAUAAAAGCUCCACCAUGAAGUUCAACAUUAUCAUCCUGUCGGUCGGUGUUUGUGCUACUAUUAUAGACAGUAGACAUUUGGCAAAUCAAAAUAUAGCGGAUAAUGUAAGAAGUUAAUAAUUUACACAUUAAUUAUUUCUAAUGUGUUACUAUCUUUUAGACAAAAAACGUGGAAAAUCGAGCUUCAGGACGUAAGGAUGUUCAAUCCAGAGAUUGAUGGUUUUGCCAUUGAUUACUACUGGGUUGGCCACGGCUGGUGCGGCUAGUGCUUUUGGUGUGGCUAGUGCAGCUAGUGCAGCUGGUGCGGCUGCUGCAGUUGAUAUGGCUGCUGCACACAGCCCGAAUCCGUCGCAAUCUGAGCGUCCUAGUGCAGCUGGUGCGGCUGCUGCACAAAGCGCGUAUCUGUCGCAUUCUGAGCGUCCUAGUGCAGCUGGUGCGGCUGCUGCACUUGAUAUGGCUGCUGCACAAAGCGUAGAUAUGUCGCAAUAUAAGAAAGUGUCUUCAACCGAAAAGUAUGAAACUCCAACAGAUGAUUUAUGUUGUUGUUUAUAAACUACAAUAAUUUCAAUAAUUUCUAGUAAUAAAAUAAUUUGUACUUGGAAA